GGGCGACGCGGCCCGGCAUUUUUCUCUAAAUCGGCGGGUACUGAGAAAAUACGUCUCCCUUAGAGUCCCACGGAAAGGUUCUCAGUGCGCUCUCUAUCAAGGGAUCGGUGAAUUUUAACUUUGGAGUCCCCUAUGCUAAGGAUGCUCAGCUUACAGGUGAUGAAAUGUUCAGUAAUGUAUUUGCUGCAGCUCUGCUUACCCAAGCUUUGGGUUCCUUCUGUCCCACUGGGAGUUGCCCAAUUUGGUUGCAUCUGGUGAAAUUCACCCUGAGACCUUACAGAACCAGCUCCAACUACAUGAGAGCCAUUUGCAGUUCUCUCCAGACGCCUGGAGAAUGGGCGACGUUUCUGAGGAUCCGGCGAGCGUGCUUCUGUCAAAACUCAGUCUGUGAAAUUCCUGGGGAAAACCCUUCUGUGUCCUGAAGGGUUCAAACUCUGGUGAGGAUCCAGUUAUCAGGUGCUCACCUGGAUGGUUCCAGCUCCCAAAGGGAAAGACUCUCGUAUCCUUGUCGUCGGGCUCAGUGCUGUCCAAGAAGAUACAGAGACUAAAAAAAUCAUAAGAAGCAAAAUAUGACUGCAGGGAAAAGAAGCUGGAGAGAACAGAAGACUCAUCACGGCGGGACAGCGUGAAGACUGAAAGUGUAAGAAGAUGUGGAGGGAAAGAGAGAAUCUGACAGGAGCAUCGGACGCACGAGUGCAGGAAUUUUGCUUUUUUGCUUGGAUGUAAACUCAGGCGUUGAAAGGAAUUUGGGAGUGAGAAGGGACAUUUCAGAAGGAGAAGAAGCAAAAGAAGUUGUUGUUGUUGUUACAGUCCUGGCAAAAUCUUUUGUUCUAGCUAAUAAAAGAAGUUAGUUUAAAAAACAAAAAGGAAAAAAU